UGCAUGUCAGGCAGUCUGCUUUGUAGCUUCGAGUUCAGUCGUAGUUAAGGAGUUGAUGCGUCGCCACAGUGAUGAAUAAGGUUGUUGUUCUCUAAACACAGCAGCGAAGCUGUAAACCUAAUAAGUGAGUGAUCAGAGACCACCGAUGCAAGAGGCAUAAUGCCAACAUUU